rnacentral:rRNA from 1 species
AGUGAGCGCUGGCGGUAGGCCUAACACAUGCAAGUCGAACGGCAGCACAGUAAGAGCUUGCUCUUACGGGUGGCGAGUGGCGGACGGGUGAGGAAUACAUCGGAAUCUACUUUUUCGUGGGGGAUAACGUAGGGAAACUUACGCUAAUACCGCAUACGACCUACGGGUGAAAGCAGGGGAUCUUCGGACCUUGCGCGAUUGAAUGAGCCGAUGUCGGAUUAGCUAGUUGGCGGGGUAAAGGCCCACCAAGGCGACGAUCCGUAGCUGGUCUGAGAGGAUGAUCAGCCACACUGGAACUGAGACACGGUCCAGACUCCUACGGGAGGCAGCAGUGGGGAAUAUUGGACAAUGGGCGCAAGCCUGAUCCAGCCAUACCGCGUGGGUGAAGAAGGCCUUCGGGUUGUAAAGCCCUUUUGUUGGGAAAGAAAAGCAGCAGAUUAAUACCCCGCUGUUCUGACGGUACCCAAAGAAUAAGCACCGGCUAACUUCGUG